rnacentral:misc_RNA from 1 species
CGCACCUUGCGCUCCUUGGUAUUCCGAGGAGCAUGCCUGUUUGAGUGUCGUGUAAUUCUCAAUCCCGUUUGGUUUUGAAUCGAACGUGGAUUGGACUUGGGAGUCUGCUGUGCCCUUUCGGGUUUGGCUCUCCUUGAAUGCAUUAGCUCGGUCACGUAGUUGCCCGACGGUUCACGGUGUGAUAGUUUAACUUCAUCGCCGUUCUGACCGCUUGGUGCCUGUGCUUGCCGGCUUCCAAUCCAUGUGUUGUCUUUACGGACGCGCAUACACUUUGACGCUUGACCUCAAAUCAGGUAGGAUUACCCGCUGAACUUAA